GACAGAGGGGGCAAGCGUUGCUCGGAAUCACUGGGCGUAAAGGGCGCGUAGGCGGGAUGGCAAGUCGGUCGUGAAAUCCUUCGGCUCAACCGAAGAACGUCGGCCGAUACUGCCGUUCUUGAGGGAUGCAGAGGAGAUUGGAAUUCCCGGUGUAGCGGUGAAAUGUGUAGAGAUCUGGAGGAACACCGGUGGCGAAGGCGGCAUCCUGGACCGGCAUUGACGCUGAGGCGCGAAAGCCAGGGGAGCAAACGGG
rnacentral:rRNA from 1 species